rnacentral:misc_RNA from 1 species
GGAUGAAGAACGUAGCGAAAUGCGAUAAGUAGUGUGAAUUGCAGAAUUCAGUGAAUCAUCGAAUCUUUGAACGCACAUUGCGCCCUUUGGUAUUCCUUAGGGCAUGCCUGUUCGAGCGUCAUUUAAACCUUCAAGCUCAGCUUGGUGUUGGGUGACUGUCCGCUUCACCGCGGACUCGCCUCAAAAUUAUUGGCGGCCGGUACAUUGGCUUCGAGCGCAGCAGAAACGCGAACUCGGGCCCGUCGUAUUGGCUCCCAGAAGCUAUCUUCACAAUUUUGACCUCGGAUCAGGUAGGGAUACCCGCUGAACUUAAGCAUAUCAAUAAGCGGAGGA